CCUACGGGCGACAGCAGUGAGGAAUAUUGGUCAAUGGCCGCAGGGCUGAACCAGCCAAGUCGCGUGAGGGAUGACGGUCCUAUGGAUUGUAAACCUCUUUUGUCAGGGAGCAAAGGGCGCCACGUGUGGCGUUUUGCGAGUACCUGAAGAAAAAGCAUCGGCUAACUCCGUGCCAGCAGCCGCGGUAAUACGGAGGAUGCGAGCGUUAUCCGGAUUUAUUGGGUUUAAAGGGUGCGCAGGCGGAGGUGCAAGUCAGCGGUCAAAUUGCGGGGCUCAACCCCGUACUGCCGUUGAAACUGCAUCCCUUGAGUGCGCGAGAAGUAUGCGGAAUGCGUGGUGUAGCGGUGAAAUGCAUAGAUAUCACGCAGAACCCCGAUUGCGAAGGCAGCCUGCCAAGCCAUGACUGACGCUGAUGCACGAAAGCGUGGGGAUCAAACAGGAUUAGAUACCCCAGUAGUC
rnacentral:rRNA from 1 species